AUACUCUGGAGAAUCCUGACAUACCGCGUCAGGUGCCGAAGGUGCAAGGCUUGCCGCUUAAAUGCGAUGAAGUUGAAUCUCUCAGGCAAAAGGACAGAAUGCA
rnacentral:ncRNA from 1 species